CUUCAAAGUCAAGUUCUUAACUGUGGCCAUCCUCAGAGGAGUUAACUGUUUAUUACAGCUCCUGUGUUUCACACCACAAAGCUUGAAAGCCCAGGGAGUCCUACAGUUGUACCUGCAGAUGCCAAAAUGCUUCCCAGCCUCUGCUGUCCCUCCCGCAGCAGGGUCUGCUCUGAAUGCUGUUCUCCCUGCCCCAGUCCCACUUCUGACACAUCUCAGUGCUGAUGAGACUUCGAGAAGCCACAAGUCCUCUAUCCAACAAGGAGCGUUUUGGUGAGGUGGUCUGCACAUGACAAAUCUGAGAAGGCCAAGUACCAUGGAGGGGAAGAAAUCAAUUUUACCUGACCCUGCUUAUUUUUAUUGGGACUGUUCUCUAAACUAUCAAAGGUGCUUUUUUGUAUGUUUUCUUUACUUGAGCAGAAUAGGUAAUAGCAAAGCUUAAAUGCGAGUAUUAUUUAAAUCUUUUUAUGGUAAUGGAUUAUUUUAUACAGUUCAGCUUUAUGGAUCUGGGUCUAUUUUCCACAGAUCCUGCCAAAAGAGUUUCCAUUCUGGGGCUUUCUGCUUAUUUCUUCCAGCUGCUUCUCUUUCUUAUCCCUUCUGUUGUUAUUCUCCUCCUGUCUCCUUGUUUUCACUACUGAUGGAAUAGAGGCUUGGUUACACUUUGAAAUCAUAAUAUAAAUGUUCUUGGCAAUUGUUUAUUUCUAUACUCUUUAUAAUUAUUCUCCAGCGAUUCCAAUUGUAUUUUCCAGUUGGAGAACAUCACUGAGGACUGCAUUGCUCACUCAGAAUGUUAAAGGUGCAAAUAAUCUUUUAAGAGAACUCAUAAGGAAUAUGUUUGACAUCAAGACACAGCAGGAGUAACACAGUGGCCAAAAUGGUGUUGAUUCUGUUGACCAGAGUGAUGCAGGAAGAAAAAGUCUUUAAGCAGCUCUUCAUUUCCUACCUAGUCCACAACCUACUCCACAAAGUUGGUCUGCAGCACAAAGACUCCUGCCAAUCUUACCCUACACAUUCACCAUCGACAGUAAUGGGAUUCAUGGGACUUGGCCCAGCCUUCUCCAAUGGUAUUGUGCUGGUUAAAUGCAUGAAAUGGGGGUGUGCGUGCUUGUGUCUGUGUGCAUUGUUUGAAUCCUAUGUCAUAUUAAUGACAGAUAAUUUUAAAAGAAAAAAAGAAAAGGUUGUGUGGAAGUCAUUUGACUACCUGUUACUUCAAUGGCAUUAAUCCUAGCCUUGUCAGAAGUGAAUCAGUACUCCUUUCUGCAAAAAUAACAACUGGCAUGGAGGCAGAGAAGCGCUGUUUUCUCACAUGUAAAACUAUUUGCAAAAUGAAGUCCUUUGUUUGUUUAUUUGUUUGACUCUCUGUGUGUUUGUUUUCUCUACUUUUAGAACAUAUUAGAAAGCAUCCUGCUCUUGUUAUUUCUUUUGAAUAGUCUAUUUUCUGUAGAAAGUAAUAUCCACAUGGCAAACUCCUAUUCAUCAAAACUGUGCCAAAUAUGUGCCAUUUUAAAGCUAAAUAUAUGUUAUUUUAUUUUACUUUAAAUCAAGCCAAAAUGCAUACCAAGAACAUAGCUCUGGAUGUGGUGUUGGUCCUAUUUUCAAAUGAGUAUUUACUGUGCGAGGCACUUCUCUGCAACAGGCUGAGUUGCAUUUUCUCAUCAGAAGUCAAAGAAGCUGAUUUUCAAGUGUCAGCUGCAUUAGCAACUUCUUCAGUGAGAGAGUGGAAAAGAAAAUCACCUCUCUAAUCAGGAUUUCACUGCAUGAGAAAUAGCUGGUUAAGUCUUUAGAAAUCAAUUCCAGUGCAGAGACUCUUUUGUAGGGAAAGAAUGUUAUAUCUGAGAGUAAGCAGGAUACAGGAUUCCUUCAUGUUGAAGACCUCCUUAAAAAGGACAUAAAAAUAAAUGUGAAAAUAUAGCAGGUUAUAUAAUUUUAGACAAUUAAAAAAACCCCACAUAUGUAUCAAUUUGCACCUGGUAGUGAAUCAGUGUGCAAUGUACAUAAUGGAGUUAAAGACCAAGACUAUGACACAGUCAAGUGAUGAGAAAAACAUUAAAAUUGUAUCAACCUGUAACCUUCCUAGGGCAACAUAUAAGCCAGUGGGUUUCUUUUUUUUAGGUCUUUUAUCUUUAGCGUGUAUAAGGGACAAAUCUUUAUGCUGACAGUUUUCCUGUAAAUGGAGAGGCAACAUCCUUCUGUAAAAAAUCAGAAAAUAUUUCAGAAUUUGGGGCCAAAAAGAGUAAGUGGCACCUCUACUUUUUCUCAACGGGUGUAAUAGUACCUCUGUUCCCAAAACUGGCGUAAAUCUGUUGUGCAUCAUGAAGACAAGCAUUGAGGACUACAACCAAGGCUUGUUUCUUUUGUCCUGUAAGCACAGCUGACAACUGAUACAAGAAAAUCAUUAAGGGCUAUUAUUUUCAGUUUUCUUCCCCAUUGCCAAACAGGCACACCAACAGCUGGUUCCACAUCCAGCCCACCUUAAGGUGAGAGUCAAUGGGGACCUUCUAAAAUAGAUGUGCUGCUUAGGGAGGAGUGUCAGUCCACUGCCAGCUGAUGCCCUUUAGGAGUUUCCAACUGUGCAUCCCCAGCUGUUUAUGCCCCUUCUGACAAAAGAAGGUGCUUAAGCAUCUGGCAGAAUAAAACAAUUGAUUAGCAUUUCUGAGAUUAAAAAUGACCAAUUAGGUUAUCAGUUAACCACCCUCCUGCUGAUUAGUUUGAAAGUAUAGGCAUGUUGCAUAUGAACAACUGAUGCUGCAGCUUUGAAGGUGACUUGGGUGCAGAGGGUAAUUUGAGGAAGAGUUGAAGCACUUGGUGCUGCUGCUGCAGCAUGGAUUAUGCCUGCUUUCAGUAGAAAUAGCAGGGUAAUUGAAAGGCUGCUUCUCUGCUUUUCUUCAUCCUUUUAGACACAAAUGUAAAAAAUAAUCUUCUGAAUAGAUGAUGCUGUGCAGCAUGUA